UUAGUAAAAGCCAAAAAUAGGCAAGCUACUGUUAAUAGCUAAUUGAAGUCAAUUCUUACUAAA
rnacentral:tRNA from 1 species